CAGUGCGUUGGUUGCUGUUAAGCCAGGGGCGGUAGCGUU
rnacentral:ncRNA from 1 species